UUUCAGGCUGCAUGUGUCUUCAGAACCGUUAAUACAGAAUGCCAGUCAAGUACUGUAGGGAAAGAAUUCGUCUUUGGAAUAUUAGACACGAUCGGGGAUUGUUGCCAUGAAGUAGAUCAAAAUAUCGUUGCUCUAGAUAUCACUAACGCCUCACCAAACGACACACACGUACGGCUGCAGAUACCCUACUUCAGUAACGAUACGAAUUUCAACGUUCCGGUGGGAAGAGAACGAUAAUACUAAAUCCCAAUAUACAAAAUCACGGAACCUUUGUCGGGAAGCGUGGCGAUUGUUUAGUGACAACAUCUCUACCAACGACAAUAAGUUCAUCAACACCUUCAUCCGAGAAGGGACCAAUGUGCUACAGCUGUCAGGAUCUCAGCCACGUGGGAUUAUGUGAUACUGUGCAUCGGUGCAAAUUACACGAGGUUUGUUAUAUUGAAAGGUACAUGGAAUCUGGACAAGUAAAGUAUUUAACAGGAUGUCUUGAAGAAAACACUUGUUCUUCCAAACGGAAUGACUCAACGUAUUCGGAUGGUCUUUGUGUUCAAUGUUGCCAUGGUGAUUACUGUAACAAUAUAGGAUGUGGAGAAAAUGGUAUUCCUGACAGGGAUAACCGAGGACCUAUCUGCUUUGACUGUUAACAUGUCGCGUCUCCAGAGGAAUGUGUACACAUUACUCCUUGUGACUCUCACCAGGGUUGCAGUAUAGAGGAGUACAAAUGGUUCGAUUAUUCCCACUUUAAACUGGGAUGUGGACAUGUAUCGUGCCAUCCUGCCAGUAGAACGGCUAGUCACGUGUUCAAAAGAGCGACUCCAGUAUGCCAAUCGUGCUGCACUGAAGACUAUUGUAACCGGAAUUGUACGACCACUUCUCAAGGUCAAAUAG